UGUUCUGUAUCUCAGAUGGUUAAAGCAGCAGACUUGCGAUAUGAAGUCAUGGGUUCGAAUCCCACCAGACCAA
rnacentral:tRNA from 1 species